UACGUAGGGGGCUAGCGUUGUCCGGAAUCAUUGGGCGUAAAGAGCGCGUAGGCGGCCAGGUAAGUCCGCUGUGAAAGUCGGGGGCUCAACCCUCGAAUGCCGGUGGAUACUGUCGGGCUAGAGUGCAGAAGAGGCGAGUGGAAUUCCCGGUGUAGCGGUGAAAUGCGCAGAUAUCAGGAGGAACACCUAUUGCGAAGGCAGCUCGCUGGGACGUAACUGACGCUGAGACGCGAAAGCGUGGGGAGCAAACAGG
rnacentral:rRNA from 1 species